rnacentral:rRNA from 1 species
GAUGAACGCUAGCGGCAGGCCUAACACAUGCAAGUCGAGGGGUAGAGAUAGCUUGCUAUCUUGAGACCGGCGCACGGGUGCGUAACGCGUAUGCAAUCUACCUUUUACUUAGGAAUAGCCCGGAGAAAUCCGGAUUAAUGCCUGAUAGUAUUUUUUUAUGGCAUCAUAAUUAGAUUAAAGAUUCAUCGGUAAAAGAUGAGCAUGCGUCCCAUUAGUUAGUUGGUGUGGUAACGGCACACCAAGACGAUGAUGGGUAGGGGUCCUGAGAGGGAGAUCCCCCGCACUGGUACUGAGACACGGACCAGACUCCUACGGGAGGCAGCAGUGAGGAAUAUUGGUCAAUGGAGGCAACUCUGAACCAGCCAUGCCGCGUGCAGGAUGACGGUCCUAUGGAUUGUAAACUGCUUUUAUACAGGAAGAAACGACUCUUGCGAGAGGCAUUGACGGUACUGUAUGAAUAAGCACCGGCUAACUCCGUGCCAGCAGCCGCCGUAA